GGGGAUGCAUUGCAUCGACAAGAAUGUACGUUAAAAAACUGCAAGCCGACUUUGAUAACAGUCGUAAAAAAGAUCAAAUAAUAACUGCUAUUAAAACCAGCAGACGAGCACUCUUUGCAGAGGCAUACGCAAUUAUGUCCGAGCUUGGAAUGCUUAACCAAAGAGAACUCGCGUUAGCGAGAGCUUAAGGUUUGUUUAUAUCAUCUUUCUCAAUGGGACGGUAUAGGCAGAAACACAGUUGAGAAAUGGUAAGGAAGAUUGGUUUUUGUCCUUAUUUUAUUUAUUAAACCUUGAUUUUAUUCAUGUUUGUUGAUUGACAAAGAAUAAAAUGACUCUUAAAAAUCAACUAUGCUUGUAGAUGUUUUUUAUUGUCGCUCUUGGACUCCGAGUCACUCUCGGACAUCUCCACAC
rnacentral:tmRNA from 1 species